rnacentral:rRNA from 1 species
AGAAGUGCUUUAGCAAUAAGAACCGGUGACAGGUGCUGCAUGGCUGUCGUCAGCUCGUGUCGUGAGAUGUUGGGUUAAGUCCCGCAACGAGCGCGACCCUCGCCUUUAGUUGCCAGCAUUCAGUUGGGCACUCUAGAGGGACUGCCGGUGUCAAACCGGAGGAAGGUGGGGAUGACGUCAAGUCCUCAUGGCCUUUAUGUCUAGGGCUACACACGUACUACAAUGGCCGGUACAAAGGGCAGCCACUCAGCGAUGAGGCGCUAAUCCCAUAAAGCCGGUCUCAGUCCGGAUCGCAGUCUGCAACUCGACUGCCGUGAAGUUGGAAUCGCUAGUAAUCGCAGAUCAGCACGCUCGCGGUUCCGAAUACGUUCCCGGGCCUU